CGUCCAUUCUUUGAUGUUGCAGGAGUUCAAAGAAAAACCACAAGAAGAGUCGAAGAGGAAGCGAGUGACUGUCCUGGGCUCCUCCUCCUUCCUUCUCCUCCUCCUUCCUCCUCCUUCCUUCUCCCCCUCCUUCAGUCAUGUCUUAUGAACAUCUGAACUGUGUUUUGUUGAGUUUUGAGGUGAUGUGGAUCCAUGGACCCGGUCCAGGUCUCUGUCUGGGGUUGAACCUCGUCAUGUGGUGAAAAGCCUCAUUCCUUCAGGUAACCUUUGACCUUUGGGAUCCAAAUACGUAAAAAACCUAAAUGUGUGUGAGUUUCCACUGACAUGAUUUGUAUAAAUAAACCCUGGUUCAUUUGA